rnacentral:tRNA from 4 species
GGAGCAGUGGCCGAGUGGUCGAAGGCGCACGCCUGGAAAGUGUGUAUACGGCAAAACCGUAUCGAGGGUUCGAAUCCCUCCUGCUCCGCCA